UUUGCCGCGGGGAGCUGCACGUGUGGGCGGCGUUCAAAAAGAUUUACGUUUAUUUCACGUUCCUGACCUCGCCCGCCUAUAAAAGUCCUCGUUGCUCCAGGGCGUAGCUCCGUUACCCUGGGGGGCCUAUGGGGGUGCGGGGUACAGAUACCCAUCGCUCCGGGACACCUUGCCUCAGUGCUCAUCUCUGUCAAAUUAAAGACUCAAGAGCUGUGUGAAGCUGAGCAGCGUCUCCCUGGCCUGGGCGUGGAGUGAGCUGGUCCCCUCAUCACCAGCACCAUAGACCAGGGGAUGAGGUGCUACUGGGCAGACCAGAGGAUGUCCACUGUGCUGGUCACUCCGCACUCCUAUCAAGGCCGUGCUGGACAGGCUCAGUGACGACUCAGACACGUCAAAUAUCUUCCCUCAGAGGCACUGACAGGCUUCUACAGUGGUAGGGCUGAAGCGACACAUCCUGGUGGGGGGCACCUUUGACAGCCCAGAGCACACCUCCGCCCCCGCCAGCAACCUCAUCACCCGACUGCUAGUUCAGGACCCAGCGCAGUGGUCCAACCCAGAAGAGAUUGCUGCCACGAGUACCUGGCUAGUGCCCCCCCUGACCUUCAGCGACGACCCCGACCCCA